AGAGUUUGAUCCUGGCUCAGAACGAACGCUGGCGGCGUGCCUAACACAUGCAAGUCGAACGAGAAAGUCCCCGCAAGGGGAUGAGUAAAGUGGCGAACGGGUGAGUAACACGUAGGUAAUCUGCCCUUCAGCUCGGGAUAACCCCGCGAAAGCGGGGCUAAUACCGGAUGAUAUCCUGAAUGCGCAUGCUUUCAGGAUCAAAGGUGGCCUCUGAUUCAAGCUGUCACUGAAGGAUGAGCCUGCGUCUGAUUAGCUUGUUGGUGGGGUAAAGGCCUACCAAGGCGAUGAUCAGUAGCCGACCUGAGAGGGUGAUCGGCCACACUGGAACUGAGACACGGUCCAGACUCCUACGGGAGGCAGCAGUGGGGAAUAUUGCGCAAUGGGCGAAAGCCUGACGCAGCAACGCCGCGUGGGUGAGGAAGGCCUUCGGGUUGUAAAGCCCUGUCAGGUGGAACGAAUCUCAUCCCGAGCGAAUAACUCGGGAGAAUGACGGUACCACCAGAGGAAGCCCCGGCAAACUACGUGCCAGCAGCCGCGGUAAUACGUAGGGGGCGAGCGUUGUACGGAAUUACUGGGCGUAAAGCGCGCGUAGGCGGUCAGAUAAGUCAGGCGUGAAAUCCCUCAGCUUAACUGAGGUUUGGCGCUUGAAACUAUCUGACUUGAGUUUAGGAGAGGAGAGUGGAAUUCCCAGUGUAGCGGUGAAAUGCGUAGAUAUUGGGAGGAACACCUGUGGCGAAGGCGGCUCUCUGGACUAAUACUGACGCUGAGGCGCGAAAGCUAGGGGAGCAAACGGGAUUAGAUACCCCGGUAGUCCUAGCCGUAAACGAUGGGCACUAGGUGUGGGAGGUAUCGACCCCUUCCGUGCCGCAGCUAACGCAUUAAGUGCCCCGCCUGGGGAGUAUGGCCGCAAGGCUGAAACUCAAAGGAAUUGACGG
rnacentral:rRNA from 1 species